rnacentral:tRNA from 1 species
CAGAAAGUAGUUUAAUAAAAAUAAUAAUUUUGGAGAUUAUUGAUAAAGUGGUUUACUUUUUUUCUGA